CUGUUCGUCUUGCUGCCCAUCACCCUCUGAGACAUGCUUCCCUUUCCUAGGGUCUAAUGACCUCUCCUCGAUCUCACUGAGCGUUUCCAGGACCACAGAUGAAUUGGAGAUCAUCGACGAGUACAUCAAGGAGAAUGGCUUCGGCCUGGACGGAGCGCCGGGCACCGCGAGGGGCAGCCGCGCCUGGUGUCCCGCGGGGCGGCCUCGCUGAGCACCGUCACCCUGGGCCCCUCCGC
rnacentral:lncRNA from 1 species